CGGUGAAGCCCAGCUUGCUGGGUGGAUCAGUGGCGAACGGGUGAGUAACACGUGAGCAACCUGCCCUCCACUUCGGGAUAAGCCUUGGAAACGGGGUCUAAUACCGGAUAUGAGCUCGCAUCGCAUGGUGUGGGUUGGAAAGUUUUUCGGUGGGGGAUGGGCUCGCGGCCUAUCAGCUUGUUGGUGGGGUGAUGGCCUACCAAGGCGUCGACGGGUAGCCGGCCUGAGAGGGCGACCGGCCACACUGGGACUGAGACACGGCCCAGACUCCUACGGGAGGCAGCAGUGGGGAAUAUUGCACAAUGGGCGCAAGCCUGAUGCAGCGACGCCGCGUGAGGGAUGACGGCCUUCGGGUUGUAAACCUCUUUCAGCAGGGAAGAAGCGCAAGUGACGGUACCUGCAGAAGAAGCGCCGGCUAACUACGUGCCAGCAGCCGCGGUAAUACGUAGGGCGCAAGCGUUGUCCGGAAUUAUUGGGCGUAAAGAGCUCGUAGGCGGUCUGUCGCGUCUGGUGUGAAAUCCCGAGGCUCAACCUCGGGCUUGCAUCGGGUACGGGCAGACUAGAGUGCGGUAGGGGAGACUGGAAUUCCUGGUGUAGCGGUGGAAUGCGCAGAUAUCAGGAGGAACACCGAUGGCGAAGGCAGGUCUCUGGGCCGCAACUGACGCUGAGGAGCGAAAGCAUGGGGAGCGAACAGGAUUAGAUACCCUGGUAGUCCAUGCCGUAAACGUUGGGCACUAGGUGUGGGGCUCAUUCCACGAGUUCCGUGCCGCAGCUAACGCAUUAAGUGCCCCGCCUGGGGAGUACGGCCGCAAGGCUAAAACUCAAAGGAAUUGACGGGGGCCCGCACAAGCGGCGGAGCAUGCGGAUUAAUUCGAUGCAACGCGAAGAACCUUACCAAGGCUUGACAUGUACGAGAAAGCCCCCGAGACGGGGUUCUCUUUGGACACUCGUACACAGGUGGUGCAUGGUUGUCGUCAGCUCGUGUCGUGAGAUGUUGGGUUAAGUCCCGCAACGAGCGCAACCCUCGUCCUAUGUUGCCAGCGGGUUAUGCCGGGGACUCAUGGGAGACUGCCGGGGUCAACUCGGAGGAAGGUGGGGAUGACGUCAAAUCAUCAUGCCCCUUAUGUCUUGGGCUUCACGCAUGCUACAAUGGCCGGUACAGAGGGCUGCGAUACCGUAAGGUGGAGCGAAUCCCAAAAAGCCGGUCUCAGUUCGGAUUGGGGUCUGCAACUCGACCCCAUGAAGUCGGAG
rnacentral:rRNA from 1 species